rnacentral:rRNA from 2 species
AAAUUGAAGAGUUUGAUCAUGGCUCAGAUUGAACGCUGGCGGCAGGCCUAACACAUGCAAGUCGAACGGUAACAGGAAACAGCUUGCUGUUUCGCUGACGAGUGGCGGACGGGUGAGUAAUGUCUGGGAAACUGCCUGAUGGAGGGGGAUAACUACUGGAAACGGUAGCUAAUACCGCAUAAUGUCGCAAGACUAAAGAGGGGGACCUUCGGGCCUCUUGCCAUCGGAUGUGCCCAGAUGGGAUUAGCUAGUAGGUGGGGUAACGGCUCACCUAGGCGACGAUCCCUAGCUGGUCUGAGAGGAUGACCAGCCACACUGGAACUGAGACACGGUCCAGACUCCUACGGGAGGCAGCAGUGGGGAAUAUUGCACAAUGGGCGCAAGCCUGAUGCAGCCAUGCCGCGUGUAUGAAGAAGGCCUUCGGGUUGUAAAGUACUUUCAGCGGGGAGGAAGGG